GAUGAAGAACGUAGCGGAAUGCGAUACUUGGUGUGAAUUGCAGAAUCCCGUGAACCAUCGAGUUUUUGAACGCAAGUUGCGCCCGAAGCCAUUCGGCCGAGGGCACGUCUGCCUGGGUGUCACGCAUCGUUGCCCCCCCAAACUCCGGUUCGGGCGGGGCGGAAGUUGGCCUCCCGUGCGUGCCUGCGCGCGCGGUUAGCCCAAAAGCGAGUCCUCGGCGAUGAGCGCCACGACAAUCGGUGGUUUUUUUACCCUCGUUCCUCGUCGUGCGUGCCCCGUCGCCCGAACGCGCUCUUGCAACCCUUACGCGUCGCCUCGGUGGCGCUCCCAACGCGACCCCAGGUCAGGCGGGACUACCCGCUGAGUUUAAGCAUAUCAAUAAGCGGAGGA
rnacentral:misc_RNA from 1 species